UCCAAUCGCCAGCGUAUAUCCUUUUUGCAAGUCAUGGGUACUUGCAUGCAUCCCUCCCAAUUACAAUCAUAAUUUCUAUAACAUAGAGGUGAUGGCUCCAGAAAUCAGGCAAUUCAGACAGAGAUGUCGGUGACAGCUGGAGGCUUCCAACACCUCGCCAAAACAAACUGUCGAGUGCCUACUGCCUAACAAAGUAAGUUGGGAAUCAAAUUUGUAAGAUGGCCAGUGGACGUAUUACCUUAUCUUUCAAAUUUUAAUGUAUGUAUUCAUUCCCUACACCUAUAAUUACUCGGCCUACCACUUGCAAGCUGAAUGUGCUUUCCAAUUCGAACCCAUGUGUGACCUAAAACCUACAAAAGGUUCGAUUUGCCAAACAUCUUCAUUUGUUUUAGCUACAUUCACUGUACAUUUACCAAUGGUUUAGACGAUAGUUAGUUCAAAACAGACUCAGUGUUCAAAAUUGAUUCAUUAUUGUUUGCAGUUUUUAGGAUACAAGAUUUUGAACGCAGCAGUUUUAGUUCUGCUUUCUCCCAUAUUAGACUCUUCAUUUAAUUAGUUAGCUCCUGCUGCGCUGAUAUAUUAGGGUUCAGAUUCUGUAGAUGUCUAAAGGUUGUCGGACAAGUCUUUCAGACAUUCAUCUAAUCCACAGGUUCACAAAAACUUCGCGUCCCUUACAAUUGGUUUGCUCUGCUGUUUUCAUUUGUCAUGUAAAUGAAUGCAUUCCAAACAAAUAAUGUCAAUGAACUAGACUCAUUGCUGAGUGUAUCACGUGACUUCGAAAGGAAGAAUUUGGCUGAACUGGGAUUAAUCUUUAGUGAAAAGAGAGAGUAAGACAAGGAUUGGGAACCUCCUGUUGUCCUUUAAUUCAUGUUGUCAAUAUUCUAUAGGAUCCUUGCACUGCAUCCUGUCCGGGCCAUCAAUUUAUUGAGUCUAUGGUUGCUAUAGCCAAUGGCUACUACAUGAUCGAUACUGCACUGCAGGGUGAACGUGCCGCAAUACCUCAUGCGCUCUCAGGAUCCAAAGAACUAGCUCAACUGGACUCUAGAUCACGGACAGUUUAGUCUUGGCACUUAAUUAGGAUGGCUAAAUUACAAUUGAGUUUCAUUUGGUGGAUAUUUGCUAUGAGAAUUAUGAAUUUUAUGAAUCUACAUAUUAUACAUAUGGUUUUGAAUAUUGUAA